rnacentral:rRNA from 1 species
CUUACCUACGGGGGGCAGCAGUAGGGACUCUUCCACACUGGACGAAAGUCUGAUGGAGCAACGCCGCGUGAGUGAAGAAGGGUUUCGGCUCGUAAAGCUCUGUUGGUAGUGAAGAAAGAUAGAGGUAGUAACUGGCCUUUAUUUGACGGUAAUUACUUAGAAAGUCACGGCUAACUACGUGCCAGCAGCCGCGGUAAUACGUAGGGGGCAAGCGUUGUCCGGAUUUAUUGGGCGUAAAGCG